AGAGUUUGAUCCUGGCUCAGGAUUAACGCUAGCGGCAGGCCUAAUACAUGCAAGUCGAACGGCAGCGGGUCCAGCAAUGGAUGCCGGCGAGUGGCGCACGGGUGCGUAACACGUAUGCAAUCUACCUUUAACCGGGGGAUAGCCCCGAGAAAUCGGGAUUAAUACCCCAUAAUAUUACGGGAAGGAGUCUUUCUGUAAUUAAAGCUCCGGCGGUUUUAGAUGAGCAUGCGCGACAUUAGUUAGUUGGUGAGGUAACGGCUCACCAAGGCAGCGAUGUCUAGGGGUUCUGAGAGGAUUCACCCCCACACUGGUACUGAGACACGGACCAGACUCCUACGGGAGGCAGCAGUAAGGAAUAUUGGUCAAUGGACGCAAGUCUGAACCAGCCAUGCCGCGUGAAGGAAGACGGCCCUACGGGUUGUAAACUUCUUUUGUACGGGAAAAAACCACCGGUCGUGCAUCGGUGCUGAUGGUACCGUAAGAAUAAGCAUCGGCUAACUCCGUGCCAGCAGCCGCGGUAAUACGGAGGAUGCAAGCGUUAUCCGGAUUCAUUGGGUUUAAAGGGUGCGCAGGCGGAAUGAUAAGUCAGUGGUGAAAUCCUACAGCUCAACUGUAGAACUGCCAUUGAUACUGUUGUUCUUGAGUACACUUGGAGUGGGCGGAAUGUGUCAUGUAGCGGUGAAAUGCUUAGAUAUGACACAGAACACCGAUCGCGAAGGCAGCUCACUAAAUUGUAACUGACGCUCAGGCACGAAAGCGUGGGGAUCAAACAGGAUUAGAUACCCUGGUAGUCC
rnacentral:rRNA from 1 species